GCUCUCCGUCCCCCCCUGCAGGAGGCCGGGGGAACUACAGCCAGACCCCCUGGUGAGGAGGGGGGGGGGGCCGGGGGAACUACAGCCAGACCCCUGGUGAGGAGGGGGGCCGGGGGAACCACAGCCAGUCCCCUUGGAGAGGAGGGGGAGGGGCCCGGUAGGGGGAGGGGCCCGGUAGGGGGGAGGGGCCAGGCUGUGCGGCGUAGAAUGAGGAAGAGGAGGAGGAAGGUUUUCUCCUGCGCUCAGUCUUCCUGUGGCACUUCCUGUGAACCGAGAAGGGGGCGGAGACAAGUGAGUAUUGGAGGGGCAUGUCUUCCCCAGGUGAGUGUGGGAGGGGCAUGUCUUCCCCAGGUGAGUGUGGGAGGGGCAUGUCUUCCCCAGGUGAGUGUGGGACGGGCGUGUCUUCCCGAGGUGGGUGUGGGAGGGGCGUGUCUUCCCCAGGUGAGUGUAGGAGGGGCGUGUCCUCCCGAGGUGGGUGUGGGAGGGGCGUGUCUUCCCGAGGUGGGUGUUUGAGGGGCGUGUCUUCAGGUGACUGUCUUGUGUCGUGCUCUGUGAUUGGUGAAAAGGACCCAUCAAGCACCGCCUCCCCAAACAGCAGCCUCUCUGAUUGGCUGUGGUGGGCCGCUGGGGGGCCUGAGAGGGGGUCCCGCCUCCCUAGCGACUGGCCGUCGCCGUGGGAGACGCCGGGCCCUGGAAACGGGGGGGUCCGCAUGGGGGG
ensembl:lncRNA